AGGUGUGUAGCACAAAGGUCAGGGCCGACGACUUAUAAUCGUCAGACGAGAGUUCGAUUCUCUCCACACCUA
rnacentral:tRNA from 1 species